rnacentral:rRNA from 1 species
CCUGCGGAAGGAUCAUUAUCGAGUUUGAAAGAGGUUGUCGCUGGCCUUUCGGGGCAUGUGCACGCCUUGCUCAUCCAUCUCACACCUGUGCACCUUCUGUAGUUCUGGGAGAAGUGGGGGCGACCCCCCUUCGCUUGGUUUCUACGUCUUUUCACACACUCUAUACGUUCUGAAUGUAAACCGCGAUAAAACGCAUCUAAUACAACUUUCAACAACGGAUCUCUUGGCUCUCGCAUCGAUGAAGAACGCAGCGAAAUGCGAUAAGUAAUGUGAAUUGCAGAAUUCAGUGAAUCAUCGAAUCUUUGAACGCACCUUGCGCUCGUCGGUAUUCCGACGAGCAUGCCUGUUUGAGUCUCAUGAAUCUCUCAAACCACCGAAAGUUUGCGCUUUCGAUGGCUUUGGACUUGGAGGUCUAUGCCGGCGCGAGUCGGCUCCUCUCUAAAUGCAUUAGCUCGGAUCAUACGUGUCGAUCUGCGGUGUGAUAAACGUCUACGUCGCGGCAUUGGCACCUCGCUCUUUUGCGGGCUGGUCUGGCUUUCUAAUCGCCUUCGGGCAACACAUCUGACAUCUGAGCUCAAAUCAGGUAGGACUACCCGCUGAACUUAAGCAUAUCA